rnacentral:rRNA from 1 species
GUAGGGAAUCUUCCACAAUGGGUGCAAACCUGAUGGAGCAAUGCCGCGUGAAUGAAGAAGGUCUUCGGAUCGUAAAGUUCUGUUAUUAGAGAAGAACAAGUCAAGGAGUAACUGUCUUGACUUUGACGGUACCUAACCAGAAAGUCACGGCUAACUACGUGCCAGCAGCCGCGGUAAUACGUAGGUGACAAGCGUUGUCCGGAAUUAUUGGGCGUAAAGGGAGCGCAGGCGGUUGGAAUAGUCUGAUGUGAAAGCCCACGGCUUAACCGUGGAAGGUCAUUGGAAACUGUCCAACUUGAAUGCAGAAGAGGUAAGUGGAAUUCCAUGUGUAGCGGUGAAAUGCGUAGAUAUAUGGAGGAACACCAGUGGCGAAGGCGACUUACUGGUCUGUGAUUGACGCUGAGGCUCGAAAGCGUGGGUAGCGAACAGGAUUAGAAACCCUUGUAGUCC